CUACGGGACGCACCAGUGAGGAAUAUUGCACAAUGGGGGGAACCCUGAUGCAGCAACGCCGCGUGGAGGAUGACGCAUUUCGGUGUGUAAACUCCUUUUAUAUGUCAAGAAAAUGACGGUAGCAUAUGAAUAAGCACCGGCUAACUCCGUGCCAGCAGCCGCGGUAAUACGGAGGGUGCAAGCGUUACUCGGAAUCACUGGGCGUAAAGGAUGCGUAGGCGGGUUGGAAAGUCAGGUGUGAAAUCCUACAGCUUAACUGUAGAACUGCACUUGAAACUUCUAAUCUAGAGUAUGGGAGGGGGAAAUGGAAUUAGUGGUGUAGGGGUAAAAUCCGUAGAUAUCACUAGGAAUACCUAAAGCGAAGGCGAUCUCCUGGAACAUUACUGACGCUAAGGCGUGAAAGCGUGGGGAGCAAACAGGAUUAGAUACCCCGGUAGUC
rnacentral:rRNA from 1 species